ensembl:snRNA U6 U6 spliceosomal RNA
GUGCUCGCUUCGGCAGCACAUAUACUAAAAAUUGGAACGAUACAGAGAAGAUUAGCAUGGGCCCUGCGCAAGGAUGACACGCAAAUUCAUGAAGAGUCCACAAUUUUU